rnacentral:tRNA from 1 species
UGUUUUGUGGUGAAGUUGGUCAUCGCACCGUGUCUAGGGAAUUGAAUAGACGUGGGUUUAAAUCCCAUCAGAACUA